GAUGAAGAACGCAGCGAAAUGCGAUAAGUAAUGCGAAUUGCAGAAUUUCCGUGAGUCAUCGAAUCUUUGAACGCACAUUGCGCCCACUGGUAUUCCGGGGGGCAUGCCUGUCCGAGCGUCAUUGCUGCCCUCAAGCACGGCUUGUGUGUUGGGCCCCGUCCUCCGAUCCCGGGGGACGGGCCCGAAAGGCAGCGGCGGCACCGCGUCCGGUCCUCGAGCGUAUGGGGCUUUGUCACCCGCUCUGUAGGCCCGGCCGGCGCUUGCCGAUCAACCCAAAUUUUUAUCCAGGUUGACCUCGGAUCAGGUAGGGAUACCCGCUGAACUUAAGCAUAUCAAUAAGCGGAGGA
rnacentral:misc_RNA from 1 species